GAUGAACGCUGGCGGCGUGCCUAAUACAUGCAAGUCGAGCGAACGGACGAGAAGCUUGCUUUUCUGAUGUUAGCGGCGGACGGGUGAGUAACACGUGGAUAACCUACCUAUAAGACUGGGAUAACUUCGGGAAACCGGAGCUAAUACCGGAUAAUAUUUUGAACCGCAUGGUUCAAAAGUGAAAGACGGUCUUGCUGUCACUUAUAGAUGGAUCCGCGCUGCAUUAGCUAGUUGGUAAGGUAACGGCUUACCAAGGCAACGAUGCAUAGCCGACCUGAGAGAGUGAUCGGCCACACUGGAACUGAGACACGGUCCAGACUCCGACGGGAGGCAGCAGUAGGGAAUCUUCCGCAAUGGGCGAAAGCCUGACGGAGCAACGCCGCGUGAGUGAUGAAGGUCUUCGGAUCGUAAAACUCUGUUAUUAGGGAAGAACAUAUGUGUAAGUAACUGUGCACAUCUUGACGGUACCUAAUCAGAAAGCCACGGCUAACUACGUG
rnacentral:rRNA from 1 species